UUACAGAUCCAAAGAGAAAAAUAUGCACAAAGGAGCAAAAUCUGCACAAAAGGAGUACAAAUGAUAUGUCUGUUUAGGCGAUUGAGAUAAGAUAUCUUAUGGAUAUCUUGAUUUGCCCUCCAAAAGAGGUCGCGGUAUAACCGCAUGGAGUUAGAAAUGAUCCUUCGUAGGCUAGAGGGUAAAUUCUCCGUAAAAAGGAAAUAUAGACAAUGACUUUAUUGAGAUGGGCGUGUCGCAUCUUCUUGCAUAAUAAGCAUGUUUUGGCAGAAAAAAAAGAAAGAAAUUCCGUUCAUUGAGGAAAAUAAGUGUUCUUUUAGUAAAAUGAUUUUGAAAAUGAAAUUGAUAAUGAAAAUAUUAUAUUCGGAAACCAAGACUUUGUUGAACAAAAGCAAGGAACUGAAAAUUCAAAACCUUCGGAAAGCCAAAGACAACGUAAACCGAAACCGGAAGCAGGACGCUUGGCGUUGCCAAGAGGAGGUAGACAUGCCACUGUCUUGUUGCAAAAGGCAAGAAGAAAAACACAUGGUUAAAACUUGAAACUUUGCACACUUUUAUUUAACAGAAAAGAAAUCUGAUUAUUAAGAUAUUAUUAUUAUAAGAAAAUGUGCCAAGUGCCUGGACCCACUGUCGUUCCUAAACUAGAAUUUCAACUACAUGGAUAUUGUCAAUGCAUUUCAUUAAAAUACGCAACAUACGGUCAAAAUCUCUACUUCGAACACAGUUUUCGCAUAGCGUACAGAUUAAUACGCUAACGUUAAGCUUUCAUAUUGAAAUAAAAAUACAAUUUUCACACACAAGAAAAGAGAAAAAUAUGAACUUUUGAACACUG